rnacentral:lncRNA from 1 species
GAUGAUGCUGCUGGCCUCUUCGUUUGUGGUGUCGCUGCAUCAUAAUCUACUGUCAUUGCUUGUCCAUGAACCCCGUAGAAUGUUUAAGCUUUCAUCUUUACUGUACAAAGAAGGGUUAUAAGAUCGUAAAAGCUUGUAUGAGUACGAGACACAGUUCAUGAUCUGUAUACAAUUUACAGUUUGAGAAUAAGGAGGAACCAACUUACGUAUACCAUGUGAAGCAUCAGUGUCUGUCAUUAGAUUGAUUCUGAUUUGGUGCAUUGUACCGGAAAGCGUACAAAAUCAGAAGAGUGUGAAAAUAUUUGAAGAUUAGACCGGUCUUAGAAUAUAAUAAAAUAAAGCUCUGGAGGGUGCAGGGUUGGUUGGGAAAUUAUCAGUUGGUGGAAGUCUAAAAGCGGAAUGGACAACGGUG